GACGAACCGUGCGAACGUUGUUCGGAAUCACUGGGCUUAAAGGGCGCGUAGGCGGGCCUCCAAGUCCGGGGUGAAAGCCUCCAGCCUAACUGGAGAAGCGCCUCGGAGACUGGGGGUCUUGAGGGAGGUAGGGGCGUGCGGAACUAUGGGUGGAGCGGUGAAAUGCAUUGAUAUCCAUAGGAACUCCGGUGGCGAAGGCGGCACGCUGGACCUCUUCUGACGCUGAGGCGCGAAAGCCAGGGGAGCAAAC
rnacentral:rRNA from 1 species